CCUACGGGAGGCAGCAGUAGGGAAUCUUCCACAAUGGACGAAAGUCUGAUGGAGCAACGCCGCGUGAGUGAAGAAGGGUUUCGGCUCGUAAAGCCCUGUUGGUAGUGAAGAAAGAUAGAGGUAGUAACUGGCCUUUAUUUGUCGGUACUUACUUUGAAAGUCCCGGCUAACUACGUGCCAGCAGCCGCGGUAAUACGGAGGUGGCAAGCGUUGUCCGGUGUUAUUGGGCGUAAAGCGAGUGCAGGCGGUUCAAUAAGUCUGAUGUGAAAGGCUUCGGCUCAACCGGAGAAUUGCAUCAGAAACUGUUGAACUAGAGUGCAGAAGAGGAGAGUGGAACUCCAUGUGUAGCAGUGGAAUGCGUAGAUAUAUGGAGGAACACCAGUGGCGAAGGCGGCUCGCUGGACUGCAACUGACGCUGAGGCUCGAAAGCAUGGGUAGCGAACAGGAUUAGAUACCCUAGUAGUC
rnacentral:rRNA from 1 species